rnacentral:snRNA from 1 species
UAGUGCUGACAGCUGUUUUUGUAUUUGUCUAGUAGGUCUUCCAGUUAAACAACAAUAACAACCACA